ensembl:snRNA U5 U5 spliceosomal RNA
UCACUCUUGUUUCUCUUCAGAUCGUAUAAAUCUUUCGCCUUUUACUAAAGAUUUCCGUGGAGAGGAGCAUUUUGAGUAUCAACUAAUUUUUUAAUGCCCUGUGUUCAACAGGGCU